AAGAAUUAUUUUAUAUUCUAAUUCUGUAGAAAAUUUAUAAAAUUGUGUGUAUAUAUAUAUCUAGGUUCAUAUUUGUUUUAUCCUUGAAACCCCCCUUUUGCCAUACAAAGCAAAAUCAAAAAGAAAUACUGGGAGUUUCAAGGAUAAUAUGUUCAGUCCAUAGAUGGCUCUGCUGGCUGUAUUUUAAUAUUUGCAGUUCCUGAUUCCAUCAUCCUUGGGAAAAUAUUUUCACCUACUGGUAAUGAGAGAAGAGUGAGGAGGCAGAUCAGCCAUAUUGGAUAAUGUUUUCUUCUAGUGAAGAAGUGCUAUGAAGAUGGAGUAGCACUUUAAUUUAAGGCCACCUCUCCUGCAAUUGCCAACCACGAGUGCUACCAUGAAGAGUGCAAUAUCAAGAUUUCAGAAUACAUACUUCUCAACAAUGGGAUAUUCUGCUGCUCUUCGAUUUGCUUUGGGAUUUUAAGGAUAUGGCCUACCAACCCAGCUAGGUUACUUGUGCUUGCUGGAAGGUAGCCUAGUAUCAUCGGCUUCAGUCAUCUUCCUGGUCUUGGCAAAUUUAUUUAGAAUCCAUAGUUUUCAAAAACAGGCAAGAGUUGAGUGGGUUCUACCACAGGCAGUCACUAGUGAUUGAGGAUUCCACUUCAGCCAUCAGAGUUCCAUUGCUUUGCCAUAUUUAAUAUUUAUUCAAUAUAAAUAAAGAAUCUAAUAUUUUUUAAUUUUAAAGUUUCUUUAUCCAAUAUUGACAUUAAAGUUAUUGUUACUCUGCUCUCGCUGCUCUUGUUAUAUUGGAACA